CUCGGUGCUUCUAAGUUUCUAACCUUUGAAUCUACUCCUUAAUUACUAAUAGCCUUUGAUCAAAUAUUAUUUCACUUACCACCAUUUACUAUCAUCAUCUCAACCUCACAUCACUCCAUCAAAUGGCUAAAAAUUCAAAAGCACCACACUCAUGAUACUUUUGAGAGUAUUCUAGUUCAACUCUCUCUCUCUCUCUCUCUCUCUCUCUCUCUAUAUAUAUAUAUAUAUAUAUAGAGUUGUGCUGGUAUGCUUAUGGAAGCACGGAGGCCUCCGUGCUUCUAAGUUGUUUUCGAUGUUCAGACUUUCGAAUCGACGAUCGGUUUCGUUAGAGUUGAUCUAGAGUAUUUGAAGUACCUAGAAAAUAAAUUUUGCGAUUUUUCGAUAUCAUUUGCCUAAUGAUCAAAGGGGCUCAAAAUCAAUAAUUUUAAUAGCCGUGAUGAGCCGGUUGUAAGUUUAACGGUGUAGAAAUAUCCAAAUCACGUGAAAUUUUGAUAAAAAAUUCUUUAUACUAUAUAAAAUAAGAUCAAUAUUUUUGAUCUAAAUUUUUAAUGUCAUAUCAUCACAUUUUGUGAGAUUUUUAUUUUCAGCCGUUGAUUUUGAGCCCCUUCGAUCACUAGGCAAAUAAUAUCGAAAAAUCGCAAAAUUUAUUUUUUAGGUACUUUAAAUACUCUAAAUCAAGUCUAACAGUGUGUGUAUAUAUAUAUAUAUAUAUAUAUAUAUUGUUGAUUACUAAAUUUUAAAUUAAAAAUUUAGUUUCAAAAAUUAUAACAGCUUAAAUGCUGCCAUUUUUCAAUAGCGACAAUGAAAGGACAGUGAGGUACGCAGGGAGUGUGCUGUAAUUUCACAUGCCAUGUAGCAUUCAUAGCCUCGUUAGUCCUAAAAGCGGUGAAAGCUAAUGCUAUUAAAUGUUUGGUACGUAGCUUUCUUUUUCCCUCGCUCCUGUCUAUCUCUAAAUGCAAAUUUUUACUCUUGCAUGUAAAUUUGUUUGCGCAAAAUGGUGAGUGGAUGAGAGCAUCAUAUUAGGUUCUUUUACUUGUGAGCUGUUUAGUUUUAAAAUGAGAAUUAACACCUUAUCAAAAUAUGCGCCUUUCAUUGUCAAAGUUUAAAAAAGAAAGACCAAGUCUUAUUAAAUUCAAUUCUAGCUAGAUAAGAAAUAUCUGUUCUGAAAACAUCAAUAAAAAGCUGCAGCAAUAGUAAAAUAUUCCCUUUGGAAUGGAUUCAUUUGUAUGUUCUAGAAAAGUUAGUGACACCUGAAUUAUACGUCUAUACACAAGGAAUGAUGCUUUCUUGUGCCACUACACCAAAAACGGUUUAUGGCGACACUUUUAAAUAUAGAUACAUGUCAAAAAAAUGCUGCUAGCUAAAAUUACCGACACUUUUAAAAAAUGUUGCUAUAUGUGGGGUCGCUGGGUAUAUAGUGACAGUUAAAGAGUGUCGCUAUAAUCUAAAAGAGUGCUGCUAAUUUACCAACACUUAUUUAAGCAUUUAGCAACCGCCAAAACUCUAUCUCGUUGGCUGUGGUGGCAGAGGAGGACGACAGUAAAGGCUCUUCGUCUAGAAUUUCAGUGGAUUAAGUGAAGAGAGAAGAAAAGAUGGUAAUUGAUUUUUUUUUUUUCUUUUCUGUUUGUAAUCAGGCCAAAUGGACUGGGUGUGGUGGGUUGAGUAGAGUAAUCUUUUAUUUUUGAUUGGAUUGGGCUUUAUAUUUAGGCAUUAGUAGAUGUGUUUUUAAGUUUUAGCAUAAAUGGGACACUUACUCAAAAAUGUUCCAAACAUGUGUCCUUAUAAUCUAAUUCUGUUGUAGUGUGCCUUCACCAAGAAUGAGCCAUGGAUACACAAUGAGAAAUCAAAUGACCACUGAAGGGAACAAUACUCCACUUUGUGCAACUUUAUCCACAUGGUUUAUCUUAUUCCAGUGCACAGUACUGCUACUACUUUCCCCAAAUCUACUGUUCCUAAAUAAUAUCAUAUUCAGGACAAGUGCCGAAUGAAAAGGGUGGUGUUAGGCCUGAAUAAAUAUGGAUGUCCUUGUUGUAUGCCAUGGCUUUAUUUCUUCUGGGUUUGAGCCUUUAAGGCCAAUGUAAUGAAACAUGCAUGUUGCCUUUCCUUUUUUUUGAAUGAUGUCCUUUAGAUGCUGACGCACAUGUACUCAUUCACACUUUUAAUGAAUUUUGGCAUCACCAAACAAUGCAUACACUUAUCACUUCAAGUGCAUGCAUUCAAGUGAAUGCUAAUUAUAAGAAUUUUUAUUCUUUAUUGUAGAAUGUUAUUUCAUUAUUGAACAAAUGUUUGUUUGUUUGUUUUUUUUUUUUUUUUUUAUUACUUGCCUUAUUCAUUUCUUCUCCAAAAAUAAAAUAAUAGUGAUUUUGAAUCACAAAGCUUCUUCCCCGCUAUGUUGGAUUCAAAAUUAUUUUCGAAUGUUAAAAUUGUGAUAAAACAACCAUUGUUUUAUAUCUUUCUGAGGUUCGAAAAAAGGGUCGAUUCUGGUCAUCCAUCGAUGAGUUCAAAUUUCACUCUUGGUUUUUAUCAAGUAAGCUUUUCUUGUUUGCUUUUUUCUAAUCUUUUGGCCAUUAUUUGCCUUUUUCUAACUUCUUGGCCAUGUUAUAUAUUUCUGUUUUUUUAGAGAAGUUAGCAUACUAUUUACUUCGUUUAUUUUUUUUUAGAAAUAAACUUAACUAAAAAUAUGAAUCAAUUAGGAUUCGCACUUAGAACUUUGGAUACCAAUUAUUAAUUUCUUUAUCACUUGCACUAGGAACAGUCGGUAUGUGAUGUAUUUCUAUUAAAUUUAUGGUCCAACUCUUUUUAAGGACUAGUCAUGGGGAGGUCACAAUCCAAUUAUUAAAACUACUUUUUCUUUUCUAGAAACAUAAAGUAAGUGUUGCAACGUUCCUGCAAUUCAAAGUAAACUUAAUGGUGUCCCAUGGGCCAUGGCCCCUUGACUUUCCUCCUAUUGUACCACCACACACUACUGAUCUCCUUUUAUCCAUCUUUUCUUAAUCAUUGAAGUUCAGUAGUAUGAAGGAAAACUCAUGUUAGGAGUAAAAGUUAUAUUCUAGAUGCAGCAACUCCAAUUCAUAGUUUGAAGUUUGAAAAUGACAUAAAACUUUCUGGAUAAUACAAUUUAGUGAUGAAGGAUCAUCUUCUUCUAUAAGGUUUUUUUUUUUUUUUUUUUUUUUGAGAGAGAGAUAGGUAGCAUACUACCCGCUUCGUUUAUUUAUAAAUAAAAUAAACUUAGCUGGAAAUAUGAAUCAACCAGGAUUCGAACUUGAAUCUCGGGUACUAACCAUCAAGCCCUUUGCCACUUGUUCUAGGGACGGUCGGAAUCUUCUAUAAGGGUUGUGUAUAAGAAAAACAUAGUUUUAUCUCUUUUCUUAAUUUUAUUGCGCUAAAGUUUAGAUGGAUCUCAAAACUGUUUACCUAAAUAAAUAAUUUUAUAGGAGAAAAUAUGAGCGCACGAGAGAGAGAGAGAGAGAGAGAGAGAGAGAGAGAGAGAGAGAGAGAGAGAGAGAGAGAGAGAGAGAGAGAGAGUACUCUGAUUUCUAAGUAGCAUUUCAUUAAAACAUACAUACAUACAAUCUUAAUUAGUAGACAAGCACUUUCACACACACACAACUCUCUCUCUCUCUCUCUCUCUCUCUCUCUCUCUCUCUCUUUUCUUUUUCUUUUUUUUCCCUCACUCUCAAAAGGUGGGGGCAAACCUAGUGCUUGGGUGGACACUGGUAACACUUGUUGAAGAGCCCAAAUGUGUCCACUUGACGAAUGAAGUUGACCAUGCUCGCCCACCCACCGAACCCAAACCCAACCACAAAAACCCACACCACCACGAAGCAAUUCACCGAGUAUAGACCCGCCCAUCCUCCUAAGAAUGUUGGUGGCCUCUCCACAGCAUUCUACAAUUUUUUUUUUUAAAAAAAACAAGAAUGUAUAUAAGACUAAGCAAAUAUUUAAAACGUUAAUUACGGUAUAUUUUUAUGAGACAUGUUCUUAAUUAUCAUACUUCACUUUCAAAGCGGUUUAAUAUAUAUAUAGAGCAAGCAGUAUUAACGGGCACUUAGCACAACAAUUUUGUGACAAUAAAUUAAGUGUUGUAUAUAUCAACUGUGGACUAAUUAAUAAUGUGAAAUCAUGAGAAGUUUUAUGUAUAUAUAUAUCUAUAUACUUUACCUCUCUAGCAGAAGCGGGAGCAAAGGUUAUCAUGUGCGCCAGGGACGGAAUUAUGUACACAGUGAAGCUCACAAGCAGCGAUCCGACGGUCGAAUUGAUCGGGCCGAAGAAGGGGAACACGAUCGCGAGGAACCAAAUCGGGAUCACCACCGGCAGCCUCGCGAUCGCCCUCUUGACGAUGCUCUUCGUCUCGUGCAUGCCGAUGACCUUCUCCCACACAAAGUAGAGCGGCGUGCACGCAAAUCCAAAUGUUAUGAACUGCAAACAUACACACAUGUAUAUACAUUCACACACAUGAAUUAAUCAGGAUGAAGUAGUUAGUUCUACGGCACGGAAAAAUAACAAUUUGAAUUAAGAGGGUUACGUGUGCAAGUUGCACUACUUAAAACUACCUGAUGAAUGAGCAUGAGUAUAACUGCAGUGUCUCUGAACCCAGAUUUUGGGAGUAAAGCGAAGGCAUUUGAGUGAUUUAGAAGCAUGUCUCCAAAAGCCCAGUACAUUGAAGCAGCUGAGGGUAGUGUGAGUGUCAGCACAUACGAAGUUGCAAAGAGGUACACAAGCUUGAACUUCUGCGGCUUCCACAUCGCAUGCAUGAUCUCUCUGCAAACCACAAAAUUUUAGAAAUGUAGACUGUAACGCCUCAAUAGUUUCAUAUUGGAUAAAAAAAUAAUUCUUAUUAGAAUAUACCAGACUUCGGAUACUUAUAAUAAUAACUAGGCUUAAGCAUUUUGGACCAGUGUUUUGGGCCCAAUGAAUUAUUGUUGCUAGCGGGUCAAAUCGUUAUAAUAAUUAGUAUCAGAGCCGAAUAUCAGCCGAAAGUUUUAUGCGGGACAAAAUGCUAGACUAUAGGUUUGGUGGGAGCCACCUCUUCGCGGAUAUUUCUAAUCUAUAUGAAUUUGGACAAUCUGUAUAAUAACUAUACUUAAAUAUUUUGAACUGGUAGUUAAGAUCCAACGAGUUAUUAUUGCUAGUAGGUCGGAUCCUUGCAUAAACCAAAAGAGGCUAAGGUUUAGACAAAAAGCAGCAGAGGGCCAAGACCAUGAUGUUCACUGCAGGUGGACAGAAUAUUUCCUGAUAAUUGUUUGAUUUAAUCAUUAAAUUAAACAUAUCAGGGUAUCUUACACUGUAACAGCAUGGCCUCCAAAGGUGUAGAGUAUGUUUGUAGCUCCAGUGAAGUACAGGACCAUCUUGGCUGGACCUGAGUGCUUAACACCUUCCACCUUCAUGUAUAAAAAAAUAAGAACAUUAAUUAGUAAUUAAUUAAGCUAUUUUUUGUUCAUUAAUUAAGGUUAAACUAUUAUUAUUGAAAAUUUACCUGGCCAUUAAGUAAGGCUGCAAUGGUGAGAUACCAUGCAGUAUAGCUAGUCAUUAACAGGCCCAGGAAGGACCAGAUCCUGUAGUUGUGGAAGGAGGGGAUGAAAACAGUGGUGGCACAACAUGCCCCAAAGAUGUAUGUCCAUGUCCUCUUGUCUAGGUUAUCAUUUAUGUAAUAGAUAUUGCUGCAUAGAGAGGGGACAAGUUGAAUAUUUCUCUUUUGCUCCUUUUUUUAUUUUUAUAUUGAAUAUAUAUAUAAAGAUCACGAGGGUUUAAAGAGUGUGAAGAGAACAGAGUUUAAUUGUAGUAAUUAGUUAUUGAUCACCUUGCGCAUGCAAUGAGUUGGAUUACUGAUCCAAAGAGAAGGAAAGUGCAGUUGAAGAAUAGACCAAUGUUCCUCCAGUGCUUCCCCAGCAGCCCAUCAAGAACUUCAAACCACUGAGAAGGACCACAAAAAAUGUCACCCAAAAAGAAAAAGGAAAAAUGUAUAAAUUUAAAAAGAAACAGAAAAAUAUUGUGUUGUAUUUAUAUAUAUAUAUAGUAUAGUAGCCGGACUCAUAUAGAAUUAUGUUACUAUACUAUCAAUAGUACCAAGCCCUUGUUACUAUUGAGUUUUCGGCCGUUGGAUGAAAGGAUGUGUGGUUAGGAUAAUAGUGGUUCCCGGUUAAAUUGAUAGUGGUCCCCUAGGGUUGAGUGGGUGGUUGGUUUAAUAAUAUAAUCUAACGGGUGGAAAUGAUUAAAAGGUAGAUCUAACGGUAGAAAACUCAAUAGUACCAAGAACUUGCUACUAUCGAUAGUAUAGUAGCCGGACUCUAUAUAUAUAUAUAUAUAUAUAUAUAUAUAUAUAUAUAUGGGUUUCAUACUUUCAUGUAUGUAUUUAUAUAUGUCUAAUGGUGUAUGGUACAUAUGAUGAUUCCUUUAUCCAAGAGGUACUUUUCCUUUGACCCCCUAAUUUGCCUUUAUUCAUACGUUUGCCUUUUCCUUAUAAAUUAUUUAAAACAGUGAACAUGGAGGAGGGGGCUUUCUCCCAAAAGAUGGAUGAGAAUAUAUAUUGCUAUUCUUGAACUAUACAUAUAUAUAUAUAUAUAUAUAUAUAUAUAUAUAUAUAUAUAUAUAUAUAACGUCUUCUAUACUUUCGAAAGUAUGGAGACCUCCGUACUUAAAAGUUAUUUUUAAUGAUAGGACAUCCGAUUCGACCAUUGGCUCCGUUAAGUAUAAUCUACCCUAUUGAAACUAUCUAGAAACUAAAUUUUAUAAUUUUUUGAUAUCAUUUAUCAAGCGAUCAAAAGAUCUUAAAAAUAAUUAUUGUAAUGGUCGAUACGGCAUAUUUUUAAGUUCAACGGCAUAUAAGUAUCUAAAUUACAUAAAAAAUUAAUAAAAAAUUUUACUUAACAUCGGUAGCAAGUUCAAUACUUUCGAUUUAAAAUUUGAAUCCUUUAUCACUACUUUUUAUGAGAUUUUUAUUUUCAGCCGUUCAUUUUGAGGCUACUCGUUCACUAAACAAACGAAGUAACAAAAUUAUGAAAUUUGGUUUCUAGAUAGUUCCAAUAGUGUAGAUCAAGUUUAACAAAACAAAUCGUUGAAUCGGAUGUCCCAUCAUCAAAAAUAAUUUAUAAGUAGAGAGACCUCCGUACUUUGAAAAACAUAGAAGCCUAUAUAUAUAUAUAUAUAUAUAGUAGAGCUAGAAUACUUAUAAAAGUAUCAUGGGGAUAAUACUUGUGUGUUUUUAGCCCUUGGAUGGAGAGAUGUGAGGUUGAGAUGAUGGUGGAAUGUGGUGGUAGGUGGAAUAGUGUUUGAUCCAAGGGCCAUUAAUAAUCAAAAAGUAAAUUCAAUGGCUAAAAACCUGAUAGCACUAUGGAGGUGAUACUUGUAAAAGUAUCAUAGAUCAACUCUAUAUAUAUAUAUAUAUAUAUAUAUAUAUAUAUAUCUUCAAUCUCUUACCCAUAAAAGAAUAUUGCCUUUUUUGAAAACUGAACCAUAUAACUAAAAGACUACUUUUGGUAAAAUCAAACUUAACAUUAAUUAUAAGGUAACUAACUGUAGGCAAAAAAUGCAACAGCACAACUACAGGAAUUAGAACCAUCAUAUAUAUAUAUAAAACUAAGCAAGCUUUUAAUUAUUUGUGUACCUGAAUAACAUGGUUUCUGAAAUCCACCUUCUCCCUCUCUUUUCUAGUCCUGUAUUCCACAUAGAGCACACUGAUAAGAUAAGCAGUCCAACUCCCCAUCAGCCCAUAGAACAGCUGAAAAAGCACUCCUGAGACCAUCCCCAGCUGAGAGAAUGAGUAUGGCAGUGUGAGAAGCACUUGAGCCACCUACAUGUACAAAACCACGCCACCACCACCACCACCACCACUAUUUAAACCUCAAUGAAUCUAUACAUAUGAUUCUAGAGAUAGGGAAAAAAAAAGAAGAGAGCGAGCACUAAUUAUUAAUUAAUGCGUGAAUUAGUGUGUGAGUGUGUGUGUAUAUAUAUAUGUUUAUACCUGGUUAGAAGCACAGCUGAACCAUGCAUCAUAAACUGAGCCACCAUGCCAAAAGUACCUUGAUAUCUUGCUCUUUGAGCUUGUUUCUUCUCCUUCCCUUUCCAUCUCUAUGUAGUUCCCCGCGACGAUCGUCUCGACCUUCUCCGACGCCAUCCCUCUCCUCCUCUCUCUCUCUCUCUCUCUCUCUCUCUCUCUCUCUCUAUCUUAUGUGUUGUGCUCUUAAGUUUGUAGGAGAGCUUUGGACUUCGGUGGUUAUAAAGAAACCCAGUGCCCAAUGUAUCCUUCUCUUCUACUCCUGUUCUACUCUCUCUCUCUCUCUCUUUGUAGUCGCUCUCUCUCUCUCUCUCUCUCUCUAUCUCUUAGGAAAGUAGAGGUUGGGACCAAGGCCUAUUAGAGAGGCAGUACACGAGCGGCCUGGCCCACCAUUGGCUUUUCGGAAAGAAGCCCAUAUAUAUAUAUAUAUAUAUAUAUAUAUAUAUAUAUAUAUAUAUAUAUAUAUAUAUAUAUAUGUUAUAGUUAUAUAUAGUAGUAUGUAUACUUAUAUAUAUAUAAUUUUAUAGAACAUAUAUCGUAGUAAACGAGCCAUUUUACUACUGAUUUAUUUUCGAUGAUGAACUUUCAAAUUGACGAUCCGCUUCGUUGAACAUGAUCUAUACCACUUGAAGUGUUUGAAUCAAAUUUCAAAUCUUUUCGACAUAAUUUGUCUAAUGAUGAAAGGGUUUAAAAUUUGUAAUUUAGCGAAGGGUCAGUAUAAGGAGGCAUUUUUCGUUUAUCGAUCGUCUAGAAAAUUCUUUAAACUAUUUAAAACAAGAUCUAUACUCUUGAUCUUGAUUACAAGACUCCUAUCAUCAUUUUUUAAAGAGUAUUCAUUUUCAGCCAUUCAUUUUUCUGUUCACUUGAUGGAUAAAACAACAAUAUCGAAAGUGCGUGAAAUUUGAUUUCUAGGUAGUUUAAAUGGUUUAGAUCAUAUUUAACGGAGCCGAUCGUCAAUUUGGAAGCUCUAUUAUCGAAAACAAAUCGGUAGUAAAACGGCUCGUUUACUACCAAGAGUAUUCUAGCUCAACUCUAUAUAUAUAUAUGAUUGAGCUCUUAUGCUUUUAAAAAUAUUAAGUCAUUAGUAUUUAUAGAUUAGAAUGAUAGCGAUUUUCUAAAAUUGAAUAGAUGAUUAGUGGUAUAACAUAAACUAAAAGAUGGAAUUGGUCAAAGGAAUAGAUAUAACAGUGAAAAACUUUUAAACAUCAAGUAAUUAGUGCUUUUGAGAAUGCUAUAUAGCCUGACUAUCUCUCUCUCUCUCUAUUUAUAUAUAGUUAGAGUGAUAUAUGGGCCAAUAGGAUUGAACUCUUUUAGUUUUAGAUACGUAUAUAUAAUAUACACAUCAUGUCUCUCUACAAUAUUGUAGGAGAAAAUAUGAAUGGGAUUUGAUUACAACUCAACCUAUAUUAUAUGUCAUGUGCCCUGUGUGCAUCUACAUGACACAUCUACAAUGCUGCUGACUGGUGUGUGUGACCAAUAGCUGACCAUCUGAUCAUCGGCCAAGGGUGCGUGAUCAAAAGUGGGUCAUUUUAUCCCCACAGAAAGAAAAAGAGAACAUUUGAUAAUAUAUAUAUAUAUAUAUAUAUAUAUAUAUAUAUAUAUAUAUAUAUAUAUAGGUUAUAAUUCAGGCUAGUUUUAACAUCUCUUCCUAGCUACGUGCGUACGUACAUAACAGAGAUUAAACUAAUUAUGCUAUAAUAAAAAGAAAUUAUAGACACAAGAAUUGAUUAUGACCACUCGAAGUUGAGAAAAUUAACUUGGAAAAUUUUAAUUCAGAGAGAUCAAGCAAACAAGAAUUUAAUCAUUAAAUAACUGGUGUGAUAAUUAACCCUCCUCCUCUCCUUGCAACUUAUUAUAGGGAUUCAGAGGGAGAGAGAGAGAAUGCCUUUGAAUAAACAAUAAAUAAUUAAAGAGAUGGGGGGUGAAUGAUUACAAAGGAGAUGGGGGGAUGGUGCUUCACAUGAUUGUGGCACACGUGUGACAACUGGCUUUUUCCAUUAGAUUAAUAUUUAAUUAGCUGUGGAGGGAAACAAGGGGUGCUUCUCUCCAUGUUGAUUUGCAGUGUCAAGCUAUGAUUAGGGAGGGUCUACAAGGAAGCAAUUAACUCAUCCUCUUUUGUUUUUCUUUUUAAGAAUAACAUUUUUUUAAUAUAUAUAUUAUGUAUAUAAGAAUACAUGCACAACUUUAUAUACUUAUAUAAAGUAUUCAUGGAAUAAAGAGUGAGUUUAAUUAAUUAAUUAGUAACCUUACAUUUGGAUAAGGGCCCUAAUUAAACUUAAAACUUGGUGGGUGGUUAGGUUGAUGAUGAUGAUGAUUAUGGUAGUUAAUUGAGCCCCUUCUCUUUCUCUCUCUCUCUCUCUCUCUCACACAGAGAGAGAGAGAGAGAGAGAGAGAGAGAGAGAGAGAGAGAGAGAGAGAGAGAGUAAGGAUAAAUUUAGUGAUCAGUAAAUAGUGUAGGGGCCCUAUCAAAUUUAUGAUACUUUGCUAAUUAAUUGUUCAUUUGUAGCAUGAUGAAUUAUUCAUAGAAAGCAUGUCUCAUAAGAAAAAAAUAAGUAAGAUUAAACUAUGUGCUGGACAUAUACCUUUCCUUUAGAAGCUACAAAUUUAUACCCUCUUUUGGUAAUUAUAUUAGGUGACAUCUUCAAUCUAAUAAACAAAAUAAUAUAUAUAUAAUUUUUACUCGUUAAAAAAUACAUUAAAAUAUUAAACAAAAUUCGAAUAUUACAUAUAAAAGCAAGUAUUAGCAUUUAUUGAGCAUAAGUUGUACAGAAUUAAAGUAGACAUAUUGGAUGAUGCUAUCAUCACCUUAAUUAAAAAAGCUCCCAAUAUAAAUAAUUAUUUUAUCAUUUUUAAUCUAUAAAAGAGGAGUUGCGAUCUCUUUAUCAUGACCACUCUUCUUCUCCCUUUUUUUUUUUUUUUUUUUUUUUUNGUGUAUAUAUAUAGGGUCGGUGUAUUAAUAAAACUGGUGUAUACCCCUUUUACUUCAGUUUUUUUUUUUUUUUUUUUUUCGCCUCCGCGGGUUUUGCAUCCUUUUGGGACCAUGCAUGCAUGGUUAGGUCUUUCCGACCAUGCAUCUUUUAGGUGAUAUAUAUUUUUUUUUUAUUUGAUCCUUAUAGAGAUGAAAAGUUUGUGAUGCUAAUUUUUAUGAUCUCAUAAAGAUGAAAAGUUUUCACAAUUAGAGUUAGCAUGUCCAUUGUUGAAAGAGCCAUAGCACCUUAUUCUCACUUUAGCUUCCGCAAGUUUUAAUUAUGUGACAGGUGGAAAUAUUGACCACUAAUUAGAUUGCGAUGACCCUAGAGAAGGUUCGGUCUAGAAAUUUGGAGAACGACGUGAGAUGCACGUGGAAUAUGUUCGCAACCUAUUCGAAUAAGAUUGACUAAUCUGAUAGCUUGCUGGUAGGUCCUCUUUGAUUGAAGGAAUAGUACUUUUUUAUAAAUGCUUAUAAAGAUUCUAUGAUGAUGGUAGCUAAAAUCAGGACAUUGAGAAUCCAAUGGGAGAUUAUUCUAUCAUCUAAAAACCAACGUUUUUUGUUUUUCUUUUUUGCCAAGAUUUUUUUUAUCUCACCUCGUAUUGCUUAAUUCAUAUUUUUAAUGAAUAAAGCAGAUAGCAUGCUAUCUUUUCCUCAAAAAAAAAAAAAUGUGAAUGAGUAGUCACAAGAAUAGGUACAUCAUCUUCAGGGAAAUUAAAAAGAAAAAAUCUUUACCAAAAAAAUAUAGUCCACAUGUAAUCCAAAUAGGAACCAGUUUUUGUUGACAUUUUAACUCGGGCUUAAUUCAAAAAAUUCUGUAACUAAGUUCUCUUCCAAUAAUAGCCAAAAAAGUGAUUUAUUAAGCAGAAAAAAAAAUAUAAAAUAAAAAGGAAUCACAAGAGAAAAGAGAAAAAAAAAACCUAUGUGAAUUUAAGAAAAAAAAAAAUUUUGAUGGUCUCGUGCAUGGCGCGAGCUUCAUGGGCUAAAUAUAAAUAGGUCCAUAAAAAUUAUGGCCCAUAAACACUUAACGUCGGGACACGCAUUAAUGGGCUUUUAUAACAUCUAGCCCAUGAUAAAUUUGAGGCUCGUAGCACAUCGGGCCCAUCUUAUUAGUAUCUUUAAAUAUUGCCCAAUACCCUCGGAAUAAAUUAGAAGUUCUAAAAAUUCAGUAAAAAUAACCAAAUGUGACAUGGCAAUCUUAGUUAUAAUAAUUAAUAUUAUUUGUAAUAAUUAAAAAAAAAUUAAAUUAUUGUGAAAAGAGAUAAAAAUUGGAGAAAGAUUGGGGUAUGCGAUUAGUAUAUCUCCACCUUAUAGUUAUAUCAAAUAUUAUUAUUAUUAAAAAGUAUAUAAAAAGUAUAUAAAAAUAAGAAGAAAUUUGAGCAUACAAUCAAUAUAUUAAUUUAUAGCUAUAUUUAAUAUACUUAUUUUAUUUUUUAAAAUUAUUGUCUCUAUAAAUACUUAGUUUUUAUUUUUUUAGACCUUCAUAAAGUAAUUCUUAGUUUUAGUGAUGUUCAUGUGCAACGUAUGGGAUAGGAACUAACUAGAGAGUUGAGUUUAAAUCAAAUUUUGAUUGAAAUAAAUAAUUUAUUCAGAAUUAAAUAAAUAUAAUAAUUGCGAUAUUUAUAGAUGUUUUUCAGAUUUUUUUUUUCCCUUUCGAAAAAGGAACAGAAAUAUUAAUGGCUCGAAAUCCGACUCACGCGAAAAGCUGCUGAAUAGCGAAGGCUCUUUCGAGAUCGCCAUUUCUCUCUCUCUCUCUCUCUCUCUCUCUCUCUCUCAACGCGCGCACACGAUUCCACGAUCGGGAGAGGUAAGCUGUUGAUUUUUCUCUCAUUUUUGGCUUUGAUCUCGCAGUGUUAGUGCAAUUUGAUCUCGAAUAGCUUCUUAAUUAAGCCGAAGUGUUCGUAAUCGGGGGUUUCAGGAGUUAAUUUUUUUUGUGGGAGAUAUUAUCUAGUUUUUUGACAAUGUUCGAUCAUCUACAUGCUCAUCUCUUUUGAAUUUGUUGCAAAAUCGAAAUUUAUGCCUCUUUUGUGCUUCAUUAUCACUGAUUGAUUGGGUGAGCUGUGCGAGGUUAUUUAGGUUUCAAGAACGUUUUUACUUGUGAAUCUUUAAACAUGACACCUAAGGAAUUAUUUGGUACUAUUUUUUGCUUUAUUUGCUCUGAAGAGAGUUUAGUGACAUGUGAAAAUUGCAUAUUUACCCUUGCAUGAUUGUAGAAUUGCGGGAAUACUAGUGAAAAGUUGGUAUUUGAAUGCGGUUCUUGAUAAUUGAUAAUAUUGAUCAUCUGAGCAUGUGCCCUGUUAGGGACAUACACGCGAAAAUGUAUUUGCAUAUAUGCCUUGCAUUUUGGAUACAUGUUGGUUAUAUGCCUCUGUUUUUUUUUUGCAUUAAUGUUUUUGCAUACAUGCACCUGUUUUUUGUUUGAAUGUUUUUGCACAUAUGCCCAACUGGAAAGUUGGUAUUCAGUUUCGUGAAAAUAAUCUACUAUUCUUUCUUUUCUAGAAUUGCAUGUUAAAUGUCUUGAUCUAAUAAAUAGCAUAACAAUUGAAUUGAGGCAACAGAAUAGGAGAAGAGAAAGAUUUGUACAAUUUAUACUAUAUCAUCUCUUUGGAAAAAAAUUGGUAGUAAUGGACAUGUUAGAUAGCUCGGGCUCGAUUGUGAAAUGUUCUCUCUAUUUCAAAAAGUUUUAUCAUUGCUAUUUACAUUUGAAUUGGUGUCUUCUUUUCUUUCUUUGACAUUUGAUCCAUGAGAUGCUUUUCUCUGACCGACUCUAUCAGCAAUAAUACCGUAGUGGUGGUAAAUUGUACUAGGAUGAAUCAUGUGUUUUUUUUUUUUUGUGAAAUAUUCUAGUGAAAAUAACUGAAUAGUAACAAAAUAACUGAAUAAAAGAAACAUAAAACAUAGGAAGCAAAGUCAAUCAAAGAUUUUCUGACCAUAGUAACCAAAAUCGAUCAGUCCUCUUUGGAUAGCAUCCAUAGUCAUGGUUUGCUUUGCUGGAAAGGAAAGAUGAUAGUUCUUCUUUGUAUUCUUUUCCUGUGGAUCUUCUCUCCAAGUUUUCCAACAAAAAAAUUACAGGCUAACAUGGCACAAGCUGAUGAAGAGGACCAGAAAGAAAAAGCCAGGAAAGAUUACGCCGAUUUCUUGGAGAAGGUGAAAAAGACAGUGUUCAUCGACAACAUCUCACCCAAAGCCACAACUUCAGUAGUAGAAUCAGGACUGCAGCAAUUUGGAAAUGUUGUUAAUGUGGAGUUUAUGCCGAACUACAUGAUUCCUUAUAAUAUCCCACAAUGCGCUUUAGUGGAAAUGGAGGAUCAGAAACAGGCUCUUAAAGCAAUUGAUGCCAUGACUAACUAUCCAUUCAUGAUGGGGGGAAUGCCGAGGCCUGUCAGGGUGACGGCCGCGAAGGUGGAGAUGUUCUGUGAUCGUCCUGCGCCGCCUGAUAGAAGGAAGAUUAGAUUUCGUUGGAUGCAGCCAACAGAUCCCCACUUCCAUGCGAUGAAGAAGUUUAGGUGGCUUGCCAGGAGGCAUACUGCUGAAUCUUUAGCUAUGAUUAAGGUAACUCGCUCUAUUGUUAAUUCAUUCCACACAUUGAAUUUGCAUUAUUUUUCUUUAACUGUGUUCCAGCCUUCUUUUUUUGGACUCGUAGAACUUCUUUCUAGCAUAAUUACUUCAUUUUGGGUCUAUUAAAAACUUUUGCAGCACCUACUGGCAAGCGAUGAGGAGCUUGCGAAGCAGCAGAAGAAGAUGCUCGAGGCCAACUACGAGAAGCUUGACUUGACGGAGAAGCACAAAAGAUCUUUGCGCCGCUUGACACAACUAUACGGCAUCGAUGUAGAUGAAGAGUAGGCGCUUUUUCAGUUCAUUGUAUAGUCGGCUGCUGACGCCGUAACUGGUCUGCGUUGAAUGUAGAUAAUCCAGCAAGUGGUCUUUUGUGGAUCUUGGACCUAGAGGUGCUGUUUGAACCCUCUUGUCUCACUGUUAGUUAUGUUGCAGAAGAUUGUGAACUAAAUCAGUGGGUGUAUCUGAGAUAAGUACUCCACAGAAUCACAGCUUCCCACGACUGGUAAGUGGUAAUCCCAUUCAACUGCUCUCCCAAUUUUUGUUGUGUGGUAGUGUGGGAAAAGUAAUUUCUUGGGGAUCAUAGUUGUUGAAAUUUUAUUUCCAUGAAAAAGUUGGUAUCUUUAUUGUCACAGUUCUUCCUUGUGUAGCAACUUUUACAAUUUGUCUUUUCUGUUUCUUUUUGUUUUAAAGAGAAUGGUAGCAUAUGCUAUUCAUUUCGUUUAUUUUUUAAAUGAUAAAUUUAAUUAAAAUUUUAAAUCAACUAGACUUUGAAUUUAGAACUUCGGGCGCCAAUCAUUAAAUUUUUUACUACUUGAACGAGAGAUGGUAGGUACCUACCAGCAUAUACAAUUUGUCCUAAAAAAAAAAAUUGUUUGUGAAUAGUUUAACUUGGUCCUUAAUUUUUUAAAUUGAACAUUUGACAUUUCAAACUUAUCGCAGAGUAGGUAAGGUGUUGAUUCUUUCCUCUAUUACGAAGCCGAAGAUUCAUGAUGCGUCCAGAAUCUCAUCCUCCCCCUCGUAUAUCGGAAUUUUCACGAGUGAUUGUUCGGGUUCUGGAAGAAUCUAUCAGAAUGCUGUGAAGGUAGCACCGCGAAAUAUUUGUUGAUCUUGCAAGAUAGACCGGUUCAUCAUCUGUGUUUUGUACUGCUUUGUAAAUGGUUAGGCGCCAGGAACACAGACACCAGUGCGCGUCCAAAGAGCGUUCAUAUCGAACACAUGUCGGAUACGAACAGGCAAGUGUCCGAUACGAACACGUGAGACUGAUGAAAGUGUCCGUAAUACAUAAGUAAAUUGUAAGGGACCAAUAAAUUUAGGGCGUGUUUGAUUCGCUUUUUUUUCAUCCUGGAAUCGGAAUUGGAAUGGGCGAAUUCGUUUGUGGGUGUUCGGUACACGGGAGUUCCAUUCCGAUUCUAAUUUCCGAGUGGAAUGGGAAUUUUCCAAUCACCUCUUUUUUCAAUCUGAUCUAGGAGGCCGGAUUGGAAGUUGAAUCCGGACGGAAUGGAUAUUUAUUUGGAUUAAAUUUAUUAUUUCAACUUUUUUAAUUAAAAUAUGAAUUUAAAUUUAGAGAUUAAAUUUUAAAUUUUAAAUUUUAAUUUCAACUUGAAUUAAAAAUUAAAAUUUAAUCAAGUAUUUCGAAUUUAACUUACGAAUUUGAAUUUAAAUUAAAUUUUAAUUUAUAUAAAGUUUUAUUCAAAUUUUAUUUAAAACUUAAAUUAAAUUAAUGGAUUAAAAUUAAAAUUUAAAUUGUAAUUUUAAGUUUGAAUUUGAAUAAAUUGAAAUUUAAUUUAUAUUUUGAAUUAUCCACUCAACUUUAAAGUUUAAUUUUUAAAAAAAAAUAGAUUUAAAAUUUUGACAUUAUUUCAAAAUUUUGAUGUAAAUUUUUAAUUUUAAUUUUUAAUUUGAAUUUAAAUUAAUAUAUUAUAAAGAUAAAAUUAGUAUAUUGAUCUGAUUACGUUUUUUAUAUUUACCUAAACCAAACAUCGAUAAUGGAAAUAAUUUUUUCCGAUUCCGAUUCAGGUGAUGAGCCAAACAAAAUUAGAUAAUGAGUCAUUCUAAUUCUAAUUCAAGUUUAUUUCGAUUCCAAUUCUGAUUUCGAUUCCGACUUCGAACCAAACACGCUGUUAAUCUUCUAUUGCAUUUCAUUAUUGUUGAAAUAGAUGGUAUUUUGCAGGAGAGGAGAAAAAAAAAAAGAAAAAGGAAAAAAAAAAAAGGCGUAUAUACUCUUAACCCGCAUCCGCACCCGCACCCGCACCCGAUAAGGAGGGAGGAGGAACCGUCCCGACGCUGUGGGCUUUUUCUUUUUGGAAUUUUAUAUUUUAUAACCAGCUACCCGUUACACAUUAAUAAACGUUUCUUCGUCCCCCUCCUCGGGGCCGUAAAUUAAAGGCCCCUCCGACGCGCGGAAAACUCACCGGCGGUGGGCCGAUCCUCCCUUUUUUUUUUUUUGUCUCCUCCUCCGCCAUCAAUCCCCCACCCCCCCGGACGAUGCCGACCACCACCACCACGGGUCGCCUCCCCGUCGUCGUCGUCCUCCCCCUUUCCUCCGCGGCGGCACCCCCGGACUCCUCCUCCUCCAACCCCACCACCACCACCACCGCCACCCUCUCUCACCUCCCUCAACCCCAUGCAGACGUGGUGGGAAUCCCUCUCCAAGGCCCGAUCCGCGCAUCCUCGCUCUCUCCUCCCUCUCCCCCUCCCCGCCAUCUCCUCCUCGCCGACUCCGACCGCCCGCGCGCUCCUCCUCUCCUCCGCCGCCGCCUACUCCGCCGUCUCCGCCGCCCUCUCCUCCCCUCCUCCGGCUCCGGCGAGACCCCUCUGCCAGUGGCUCUACGACACUUCCUCUCCUCCGACCCCCGACCUCCGCCUCGUCGUCCUCUCCUUCCUCCCCCUCCUUCUCCUCCGCUCUAACCUUCGCUCGCCCGCCUCCCCUCCGCCCCCUCCCUCGCCGGCUUCGAGGCCGUCCUCCUCGCCCUCUACUCCUCCGAGGUCAAGUCCCGCUCCGGCAAGCCCCUCCUCGUCUCCGUCCCCGACCUCUCCCUCCCCUCCCUCUACCACUCCCCUCGCCCCCCCUCCAACCCCCGCUCCCCGCGCAGCACCCCCUCGCCGCCCCCCCAGCGCCAGCCCUCCGUCGGGGUCCUCUGCCCCCCGCUCGAGCCGCAGAUCGCCGUCAAAUCCACCAAGCGCGCCUUCAUCCUCGCCGUCGCCUUCGACGUCUACUACCGCAGCGUCGCUCUCAUGCCCGCCUCCUCCAAGGUGGAUCUGUGCGACGCCGUCGCCGCCUGGGCGGGCCAGAACUGCUCCUGCCGACGAGGACGACGACGGCGCGAUCGGGAGCGCGGCCGGAGAGAUCGGGAGGUUAGGGCUCACCGCCGAUGCGGCGAACGGGCACCACUGCAACGGAGGGGAGGACGACGAAGCGAGCAAGGGCUCGAGGAGAGGGGCUAGGGUUCCGCUGCCGUGGGAGCUCCUCCAGCCGCUGCUUAGAAUCCUAGGGCAUUCCCUUCUCGCUCCGUUGAACCCUAAGGAGGUGAGGGAUGCGGCUUCCGCGGCAGUUCGGUGCGUCUACGCUAGGGCUUCGCACGAUCUUCUCCCUCAGGCGAUCCUGGCCGCGCGCAGCUUGAUCCAGCUGGAUAAGGGCGCACGGAAGGUGGCUAGGGCUUCGGCGGCGGCCCAGCAUUGGCUCGGACCCCAACACGCCCAGCAAGCCAAAGAAGCCGGAGAUUCUCCUGGUCUCGAAGUGAACCUUGGGGUUUGUACUGCGACUUACUUAUUGAGAGUUCUAUCUUUGUUCUUCGUCGUGUGCCAUUACUUUGCUCUGCACUUGCUUUGUAUUAAGCACUAUGAUUGUUGCCUGUGGUAGGAGUAGAGAGGGUGAAAAGCAUUUUAUGGAGUGUUUUCAUUGGAAAAUCCUGCUAACUAAUGCGAUGUGCUUAUGUCUUAUGUAGUUUGUAUGAUUAUAUCCGCAUUCUGUCGGUGAAUAUACGUUUGCAUUGCUUAAGAAAGUUAUACGAUGUUGUCUGUAUUUAGGGACUCCAUUGGACGAUCGCACUGUUUAUGCUUUAUAAUUUUAGUUUGCUCACAGUAGAGAUUAUGAUUUUUCCUUUUUUUAACCCCUUCAACCUUAUUUCCGGUAACUUGUUACACAGGGUUGACCAUGAUUUACCUACUUAACCGGGACAUCUGUUGAAUUCCUGUAUUGUAUGCUUAUGUGUAAUCUUCUGUACUGUAGGUAAAAAUGAAAAAGCAUUCCAUAUUUCUGUAACUACCUUCUUCUAGGUUUAUAUUGCACAAUGAUAUAUCUUGGUCAUUCAAGAAGAAGCAUUCGCAGUGGCAAAUAUUAGGGUUUAAUUGCAUCUAAAUCGAUGAACGUGCUGUUAUUGUUCGUAAGCGGACAAAAUUAGGGACUUUGCUUGGGCACUGUGAAGACUGUGAAGGAGGGUGGGAGAAAUGUUCAGUCGUGCUGUUCAGAGCAUAGGAAAAUAGAGAGAGCUUUUACUAGAGUGUUAGUGGCCUUGUGUCAAAGGGCAAUCUUGUGCCUGUUCUUAGAAGUUUGAUAGCUUGAGAUUCAUGUUUAUGUCUUGUUCUACAGAACUGAACUGAAUUACAAGUAACAAGCUGACUAAUAUGUAGUUUUUGAUGAUGUAAAAUUACUGUUCUCAAAAGCUUUGAAGGAGUAUAUUUUUGGAGUUAAUUCUUUUUUGAGCUUCUUUUCUCUUUAUUGAAGGCCCUGUAAUGUUCUGUCUCUUAACACCUAUGUGGGAUCGGUUAAAUGAUCAAAACUGUUGGCUUAGCCUGGAGUAUAAUCUAGGUGGUGUGUUUGGGUGAUACAAGUAGCAUUGCCUCUUAACCUCUCGUAUUGUUAUAUGCUGAAACUAGCCACUGUGUUUGGUAGGAAGUUGCACAGAUUGACUAGAAUUGAUUGAAAACUUUCAAGUGGUCCAUGAAUCAAAAGGCCGUACUUAUAAGCUUUUCUGCUCUAGGAGAGUUGCAAAAAGAUGUUACUUGACAUACUGCAAUUGCUUAUGCCAACGGCAAGGUCAUGAUGCAUUCUGUGAACAUAUGCGAAGUUGUUUUGCCCGAAAGCAUGCACGCAUGUGCAAUGAAAUCAAGUUGCCCCACUUUGGUAUUCUUGAAAUUCUUGCAACAACUGCAGCAUAAACUGAGCAUGGACCUUAACUUCUUUUUUCAGUUUUUGACAAGCUUCAAACUGGUUUAUCUUCCAGUUCAAUAGUGAUGGGCUCCUUGUCUCCAUACUGGAAACUAGGAAUGAGUUACUAUAGUUCUGUAAUUUAACUUGCAAUUUGAUUAUCAGUUUAAUUGCUCAAUGGCUUGUUCCUCUUCAUAAUGCUUUUCAAAUGAACCCAGCUUCGUUUUGUGCUUAGUUUCCUUUAGGGUUUAAGGUUUGAGGUUCAAUGAAGACUGAGUCGAGCAUAUGGCUUGCUGUACUUGGUAUGCUAUCUCCUUGCGAAAUCUUUUCUUUUCCUACUUUGAUAUUUUAACUUUUGAUGUUCUGCUUCUGUACAAUAUAGGCUGGUGGAUAAUUUUGAAAUGCUCUCUGAUUUGAUUGAUGCCUUGUGAUUUAGGAAGUUUUCAUUGUUUUUAUGUGCUGAUAAAUUUCUAACAUCGUACAUUUGGUAACUCAUUUUAGAGACUAAAGAGAUUUAACUGGGAUGUUCUUCGCAUCUGUUCGUCUUGUGUGUGGUAUGAAUGUUGAGAGAGUCAAUCUGAUCAGUUGUUUCCCUUGUCGCACCCGCCUCAGUGCCUGCCCAAAUUCGGAGCUUUACUGGGCGUGUUUAGGCUUAUUCUUCGAGGCCAGAGGAUGGGGGAAAAAACAACUCAUUAUAUUGAAUUGCUGAGGCACGGAUAAAUUUUCACCGUCCUUAUCUUUUGCUUACGACAAAUCAUUUCUAGGAACUCUCAUGUAAUUGUGCUGAAUCAUAUGCUGAGUAAUUUUAUAAUUUUUUGAUAUUAUUUAUUUUUAUACCAUAUAGAUUUUUUUGGAGAUUAAAAAUAACAUUAUAAUAGUAAAAUUUUUAGUAUUAUAAAUAGUAUAGUAGUCACUUUCUAUAUGCGUAGGUAUUUGAGUUUCUACUUGCAUAACAUCCACAUGGCAAGGUUCCUGCUUCCACCCCCGGAUGCUUUGUUUUUCAGUAUAAAGUCAACGAAAAGAUCUUAUAAUUGAGCGCAACUGUGUUUGUUUUUUCCAACCCGCCAAAUGAUUUGACGUUUCGUUCUCGCUCGUUAUCGUGUACAUUCGGCAUCUUCACCUCCUGUUUGAACGAAAUUAUUUUGAUCUUUAAAAUAUUUUUUUUUAAAUAUGUACAUAAUAGAAUAAAUAUAUGUUGUAACAUCGAUACGUCAACAGACUCAAUGCUACAGAAGAUAAUAAUAUCAUAAGAGAUAAAUAAUAUCAUAAGGAGUUAUAAAUUGGGUAAAAGCAAUUUAUUAGCAUCUCUUUAACUAAUAUUUUGGGAACAUUUUUGUACUCUACAAAGAAUAUAAACACUAACUAGUGCAUUAUUAAUCGUCCCUAAUACAAGGGGUAAAGGAGUUGACGAAUGAUAAUCAAAAUUUUAAAUUUAAAUUCUAAUUAAUUUAUAAUUUUAGCUAAAAUUUAUUUUUAAAUAAAAUAAAUAAAAUGAAUAAUAUGCUUUUUUUUUUUUUUCUUAAAAAAAAAAAAAACUGACUCGUGACAUGAACAUUUGUGCAACCCGAGGACUUAAAUGUGGGCUCCGGUCACGUUCCGUUGCACGUCGCGAUUGUUACGUAACCUCAUCGCGGUGAGCAGAUCAAGUAACGUACGUAUAUUUAUAUAUAACUAUAAAACUGAAAAAAAUUUUAAAAAAAGGGGAGAAAAGCCCGUUCCCGGCAUCGCCACUCCCCGAGUCCCCGCCUCCCACCGCGUUCCCACGCCAUGGCCGAAGGUCUUCUCCUCCUCCCCGCUACAAGACCCCGAAACGCUCACCCCCUCCCCCCUCGACGAAGCCGACGAAACCCUAGAACUCGGAUCCAUGAAAUCCCCCACCGGAAACCUCAUGAAGACCCCGAAGUCACGAAAGGGGGCGGCGCCGCCACCUCCAGCACCGGCGGCUUCGCCGGCUCAGCCCACGCCGGCGCGGCGGAAGGGGGCGGCGAGGGAGUGGCUGGUUGUGGCCGCCGAUGGGCGCUGUUACCACGAGGAGGCCGGGAAGCAGUCGAUCAUGAAGCGCACGGGGCUGCGGCCGCGGGAUCUGAGGGUGCUCGACCCCUUGCUCUCCUACAACACAUCCAUCCUCGGGAGGGAGAGGGCCAUCGUCGUCAACCUCGACCACAUCAGGGCCAUCAUCACCGCCUCCGAGCUGCUCAUUGCCAACCCCAGGGAACCCCUCAUCGAACCCCUCGUUCAGGAUCUCCGAUCUCUGGUCUCCGCCUCCGAAAACCCUCCGCAGCAGGUAAAAUUGCUCACGGAUUCCCCUGUUUUUGCUCGGUUCUUCCUUUGUCGCCAAAUAGAGAUGAUGAGGCGAAGCUAAAAGAACAUUAUCUGUUGGUUAGAAACACGGGAUGAUGACAUGUUUUGAGUCCUAAUUGGAUACUUUGGAACGUUGCUGAAUCAUUCGUUAAAUUAUCGGUCGGAAGUAUCAUAUUCACAGAUUAUGAGUGUGUCGUUAACAUUCCGAACUAGAAUUCGUGUUGUAAUUGCUGUUGAGAACUGAGAUUGUCUCUUUUUAAAGUUGGAUUUGGGAAUCAGGGUUGAGAAAAUUGAUCUUCAAUAACUUGUAAUUGUAUUAAGCUCAUCUAAACUAGGAGCAAUGGACUCAUUCAUUGAUACCUUCAUAUGAAGGAGGUGGUGGGUAAGAAGGCUCCGUCCAGCUGGCCCUCAUUUUCUGGUAAUAGUCCGUCGGUAAAACCAAGCCCGGAAGGUUCUCCAAAAGUGACGUUGCGGACAUUGCUCUCAAUAGAUGAGAAGGGAGAGAGCAGACGGGGGCUGGAAGUAGAUUUGCCGAGAGGCAGAAGUACGAAGGUCCUCCCUUUUGAGUUUAGGGCGCUUGAAGUGUUUCUUGAAUCGGCAUGCAAGUGCCUCGAAUUGGAGGUACUUCUUCUUAUUAUGUGUAUAUGAUGUUGUCAUUCUUACUGUUCUAGACUUUUCUAUAAUGUAAUUUACAUCCUCAAAUUCUGUUUAAUUAGAUUUUGGUGCUCUGUCAACAUUUUAUGAAUUCGCACCGGUAUGGGAUCGGAGAAUUAUAUACUAUACUAUCUGUGCUUCAAAAUGAGAAAGAACUUUCUGAGCUGUGUAACUUGCUUCUCUCUGGCGACGGGAUUUGUUUUCUUUGAUUAAAGUACACUGUCAUAUUACUAGGUGAUAUACCGUAUACGUAACCGCAAGGCCUCUAAAGUUUUAAACCUUUGUCCUCUCACUGUGUGCUGAUACUAAAAUGAACCAAACUUGAACGUGCGGGCUGGGACUCUAUAUUUGGUGCCAUGUUGUUUUUAAUAGUAUUAUUCCUUUUUCUCAGAUCACUGCACUGGAGAAAGAAGCUUAUCCAGCUUUAGAUGAGUUGACUUCUAAAGUUAGCACGCUGAACCUUGAACGUGUUAGAAAAAUAAAAAGUCGGUUGGUUUCAAUAUCAGGGCGUGUUCAGAAGGUAAUAUAUCUGCAGAAAUGUUGAUUUUAUUAUUUGAGAAAAAAAAGAACUACGUAGACAUGGGUAGAUCUAAACAUCUUAGAUACUUUGCUGAAGAAGAUUUUCUAUAUAUCCAUUUCCAAACCUUCUUCCUUCCUCUAGUAUCCCGUUAGUUAUUUCUUCUCCAACUGAUAUUUCAGCACCUUUGAUAUAUUUUUGUUCCUAAUUUUAUGACGCUCACUAGGUGAGGGAUGAGCUUGAACAUCUGUUAGAUGAUGACAUGGACAUGGCUGCAAUGUACCUAACCGAGAAGCUUGCUUAUCAAGCUGCUGGUGGACUCUCAUCAAGAUUUGAUUUAGACAAAGAUCCAAUUGAGCUUGGUGAAGACGAGUACGCUGCAUACUGACAAUCUAUCAGUUCUUCCAGAUUGUUUUAUUUUUGCCAACUUUAUCUUUUAGGAUUCUGCUCAGAAUGCCAGAGAACUAUCUCUGCUGUUUUAUUCUGCUGCUAGUUUUGUGACAUAUCCAAAAGUUCAUCUGAACUUGCUUUUGUUUAGACUUUUAUGUAAUCAUCAGAUUAAUACGUCUUCUCCUUAUAUAGGGCUGAAGAUGAUGAAGAUGAGAUCGAAAGUAGUGAAGGAUAUGGUGGCGUAAAGCCUAAUGUUGAUGAGCUCGAGAUGCUGUUAGAGGCUUACUUUGUGCAGACAGAUGGCACAUUAAAUAAACUAUCCACUGUAUGCCUUCUCUACAAAACUUACUUUCUUCCUUUUUUGUGAAAUUUCUGAUAUCUGUACUAAUCCAUGCAUUUGUUUCAGUUGGCAAUAUGGAUCUGUUAUGGUAUCUUUGAAUCUAUUUCAGUAAUAUCGUCAACUCCGAGAUAUAAAUAUUUAGCUGAUUUCUCCUUUAUUAACUUAAGUAAAAUCUGAAUUUCCGUUUAAAAAGUUCACUUUUAUACAUAUAUAGCCUUCUAAUUGACAAAUGACAAAUAUCUCUUAUAAAAACUUAAUUGGCAGACUCUCGAACUUAAUUGACAAAUGACAUAUAUAGCCUUCUAAUUUCCCUCGUCAAUCGGCAGACUCUCGAACUUAAAUAAGGAGAUUUAUGUAAGAAGUUCCACUUUAGUCGGACAUACAUAAAAAUACCGAUAUAAUUGGGUAUAUAACUAAAGAGAAGUCCCAAACUAACAUUAGGUUUCUUUUUCUAUGUUGAAGCUGAGAGAGUAUGUUGACGACACGGAGGACUACAUCAAUAUUAUGCUUGACGACAAACAGAACCAGCUGCUACAGAUGGGGAUCAUGCUUAGUACGGCAACCUUAGUCACUAGCUUUGGCAUAGUGAUUGCCGGUGUGUUUGGCAUAAACAUUCACAUCCCGCUCUACGAGUCCCCCUACAUAACAUUUUGGCAAACCACUUUCGGCCUCGUAGGGGGGAGCCUCGGUUUGUAUAUAAUAGCCUUUCUAUGCUACAAAAAGAGUGGCCUGCUGCAAUAAUAGAAAGAUGUGCAUAACAUCUCUGCUAGCUUGUUGAUCGAGGAGGCGUUUUAGUGACUCAAUAAAUGGGAAUCAGGUAAUAGUUAUUGUACUACUAGCUACUUAUUAUCAUCCAGCAAUGUCCAACUUUUUCAUGGUUGGAUCAAACCCCUAACUACAUUUGAUCAUUGUACCGUAUAUUUAUUGAGAAACCAGUUAUAUUAGUUCCAAAGAUAUUUGAGACUUUCUUUUUGGUCAGCAUAUUCUUAGGUUACUUCAGAAACCUACAACUACAUUCGUUCAUUGUACCAUAUAUUUAUUGAGUAACCAGUCUUAAGUGAAUCGAGCUGGUGGCAAUUUCUGAGGGCAUGUUCGGUUUAGAAUAUUUGAGGCUCAAAAUGGGAUCGUAAUAAGUCAUUUUUAUUAUUAGCAUUUGGAUUGAGAAAUUGUCAUUUCGAUUUUCGUUCUGGAGGAAUUCAAAUUCUUCAGAAGUGACUCCCACAAUUGAGAUGGGAGUCAACUUAGGGCUUGUUUGGUUCAUCUAUUUUGGGUAUGAAAUGGGAAUUGGUUUGAUCAAAUCCGGUUAAUUUUGUUUAGUUCGCAUGAAUCGGUUUGGGAUUCCUAUUCCGGACUGGAAUGGGAAUGGCCCAUUAACCUUCAACUUGAUUCCGAUCUUCUAGCCUAGAUUGAGAUUUCAUUCCGGAAGCCCACUAAGUUCUCGAAGCCCAUGUGACCAUCUCACCCUCCUUCUCUCCACUCCUUUCUCAUCAAAAAAAAAAAAAAUCUAUCAUCUCUCAAAACCCUAUCUCUAACCCACAUUAAUAAAAGUUUUUAAAAAUAAAUUUAAUAUUUUUUUGGAAAAACUUAUUAGAGAAUAGUAUUAUAUUUUUCAUAAAUUUUAAAUAAUAUAAAUUUAUCUUUGAGAAUAAAAUUAGUAUUAUAGUAUCCUAUAAUUUUUUUAAUUUAUACGAAUCAAACAAUGAAAUGUGAAUAACUCAUUCCAAUUCCCAAUCCACAAAUAAACCAAACGUCUUGAAGGAGUGGGUCAUUCCAAUUACCAUUCCAAUUCAUUCAUAUUCCAUUAUCCAUUCCAAUUCUACCCUUGAACCAAACAAGCCCUUAGAUUAUGAGUUGAUUGUAGAAAGAAUUUCUUUUGUUCCAUAAUAAUUAUUUGAAUUCAAAUAUAAAUUUAAAUAUGGAUUAAAUUAAAUCAUAAUUUCAAAAUUUUGAAACAUGAAUUAAAAUUUUAAAUAUUUUGUUGUUUCACAAAAUAUUCAAAAUAUUGUGGAAGGCAUUGGAAUAUACCUUUCGUCAGAACAAAGAAAACCCAGAAACGAAAAAGAAAAGGAAAGGAAAGGAAAAGGGGGAAAAGAAACAGGAACUUAAUUGUAUUGAUUAAUGCUACUCUCACUUUCGAAAGGAGAUAGAAGGAGAACCUGAAAUUAAGUUAUUGAUUAUUCGGGCGGUGUAUGGAACUUACCAUUGCAUUAUUUGUGCAAUUUUUUUAUGUUAUAAUUUUUAUUAUUAGAUUCUACAUUUGGUUAUUUUGAUGGUAAGUAAUCUUCUUAAUUUAUUUUCUAAAAAUAAAUUUAGAUAAAAAUAUAAAACAAUUAAGUUUUUCAUAUGGAAUAUCAGCGUACUAUCAAAUUUUUAGUCAAGUACGUUAAAUACGAAUUAAUUAAAAAAUAAAUAAAUAUUUAAAAUUAAAAUUCAAAAAGCGGACAUAAAAAUUGGCCACACGUACUCCCCGUCUAGAAAACCCCUUUUUAAUUGAAAAUGAUUGAAUUGGAUGGAACUCAAACUCAAGCUCGUUUUAUUACUAUGAACCGGAUGCGGAAGGUUCGCGAUCAGUUUUUUUUUCUUUUUCCCUCAAAAAACAAAAAAAUCAGCAAUCCAACCAUCACCUUCGGAUCACCGCCGUUAAUUAAUGGACGGUAGGGAUUAACUACAGCCUACGACGCCCGAUGCGCCACUCUCCGUUCAUUGGCCGCGGCGGCGUCCGCAUAAAACGGGUCCCUGCAACAACCGGGCAAUAUUCUGAGACCUUAAAACCUCCUCCCUAGGGUUUAGGCCACCUCCGAGGGAAUCGAAGAGAGAGAAUUAGGGUUUCUCCUCCUCUUCGCGCCAUUCGAAGGAGAGGAUUCCUCUCCUUCCUCGCUCUAUUUCUCUUCGAAUUCCUUCCCCCCCUCACCAAUGGCGCGAUCCGUUCGCGCGGGGCUCUCCUUCUUGUUCGCGCGGAGCUCUGUCGCUCCCAACGUGAGCUCGCUCCCCUUCUUCACCAUCCUUGUAUUCGAAUCCUAACCUUCGACUGCUUUGUUUGCAGUUAGACGCGUCUCCUCGUCGAUUCAUCUCGCGAGUUUGCGGAUCUUCUCGGGUUUUCGCCGAUGAGCAAUCCGAAUCAGGUGAUUUGGGCGCUUAAAUUUUGAUCCCUUUUCCCUUGUAUUUACCAUGGUUGUUCUCUUCUAGAGUUACUGAUCACACGCUGCUUUAUCAGAGGGAUUGAAGAGCGGGUUUCAGAGUGGAGUUCCACGCGGGCAAUGGUGCCCGAGCAGGUCGUUCCAUGGUCCGGGGUGAUGCUUAGAUUACUAUGUUAUAAUCUGAAUCUCGCUUCCUCUACUUUUCUUAUCUGAGUGAUAAAAAUCCUUUCUUGUGGUUUAGGAACGAGAAAAUUGGCUGUUAGAGACUAUUAUGAUGUGCUCGGAGUGAGCAAGAAUGCUAGUGCAUCUGAGCUAAAGAAAGCCUAUUAUGCGGUAUGCGAAUGUGUUUCUGACAGUAUUUAUUCAAUCUGCAACUUAAAAUUAUGUUUCUCUUUGCGUCGGUGUCGUUUGCUUCCUAUGUCCCUAACGCACACCGUGCUGUUCUCCUAUUAAUUUAAUGGAUAUAUCCAAAGCUUUUCUAAGCUGUAGAGAAAAGAAUGCUAUGCAACCUUCAUUUCCAACUAAAUUGCUGUAUUGUUUCUUUUGCUACUUUUGUUUGUUGAAUGUCAAAUUACGCAAUCACUUAUCUAUGUUACUGUUAAUACUUUUUCUUACCGAUUGAUGAUUGUACUAUUUAACCACUAUUUUACUUACUCUGCUUAGAACUAAGCUUGGAAUUAUAGCAGUCCCUAAAUUCUGUUGCUUUAUGCAAAUUUUUAAUACAAGUUGCUUUUAUGUUGUGUUAUUACACUUUCUUUUGGCAUUAUUGCUGUCUACUGAAUAUGUUAAAUGCAUAUUAUCUAAAGAACAGUUAUGCAUAGGUUCUGCUUGUCCUGCUCCCCAGUGCCUCUUGCUUUCUUCAUGAAGAAUACACUAUUUCUUUGUUUGCCAUUUUGGUUUUACCCAACUUCCGGUGUGAUGUUUCUGCAGAUUGCAAAGAAGCUUCAUCCUGAUAUGAAUAAAGAUGAUGCUAAUGCAGAACAGAAGUUUCAAGAAGUCAAUCGUGCCUAUGAAGUAUUAUAUUUGGAAUAAAGUAUGCCUUUGUUUUUCCUCAACUGUGUCUCUACUUUAAUGAGAAUCAAUUGAUUUUAUACUUGUAGGUUUUAAAGGAUGACGAUAAGCGUGCAACUUAUGACCAGGUGCAAUAUAUUUUAGCCCUUUUCCUUUUCCAGUAUGUCGGUGUGUCAUAUGAUAUAUUGGGAACGUUUUAUUCGUUAAAUUCUUUUAUUACUUUUCUUUCAGAAAGUAAUCUGUCUGUCUUUAUAUCUGUCUUGCAUUAUGAUAUUCCAGUGUCUUUUUAUUAGUGUUUGAAGCUGCAUUUCAAUGAUUUGUAUAAGGAAUGAGGAAGUCCCUUCUCCGAAUGCCUACAAUAAGUAAUUUAGUAUCUAUGGAAGAAAAAAAGGGAAAAUUUCAAAUACCCCCCGUCAUUCAGCGCUUUCUCACUUAAGUACCUUGUGGUUGUUUUUCUUUUUCUAUUACCCCCUCCGUUAAAUUUUUCAUUAACCUAGUGGUAAAGUUAAAAUCAUAUGGUACUAAAGUGAAAAAUCGGUAAACCACAGGGGGGAACUGAAGUUUUUUCUAUGUGCUUUAAUGGAGAAGUUAAUAGAGAAACCGCUGGGUACUAAAGUGAGAAAGCGCUGAACCACAAGAGGGGUGUAUAUAUAUGUGUGUGUAUAUAUUAAUAUAUAUAUGUAUGUAUGUAUAUAUGUAUGUAUGUAUAUAUGUAGUAUGUACAUACAUACAUACAUACAUACAUAUAUAUUUGAAUAUGUGUAUAGAUAUGAAUAUGUGUAUGUAAAUAUAUGUAUAUGUAUGUGUGUGUGUGUGUGUGUGUGUGUGUGUGUGUGUUUGUGUGUAUGAGAGGGCGUCACUCAUGCUA
rnacentral:lncRNA from 1 species